rnacentral:rRNA from 1 species
GAUCUGGCUCAAAUANGUUAGGGGUGCUAGAAUGCAGUCGAAGAGAAGUCCCUUGGGGGAGAGUAAGUGGCGCACGGGUGAGUACACGUAGGUAAUCUACUUCGGGUGGGGAAUACCCAGGGAAACUUGGGCUAACACCGCAUAAUGCAGCGGCACGACAUGGUGACAGUUGUUAAAGCGGGGGAUUUUAGGACCUCGCGCCUGGAGAGGAGCCUGCGGCGGAUUAGCUAGUUGGUAGGGUAACGGCUUACCAAGGCGACGAUCUGUAACCGGCCUGAGAGGGCGGUCGGUCACACUGACACUGACAUACGGGUCAGACUCCUACGGGAGGCAGCAGUCGGGAAUUUUGGGCAAUGGGCGAAAGCCUGACCCAGCAACGCCGCGUGAAGGAUGAAAUCCCUCGGGAUGUAAACUUCGCAAGAAUGGGAAGAAUUAGUAGGGGCUAAUACCCCCUAUGAUGACGGUACCAUUUGUAAGCUCCGGCUAACUCCGUGCAGCAGCCGCGGUAAUACGGGGGGAGCAAGCGUUGUUCGGAUUUACUGGGCGUAAAGGGCGCGUAGGCGGCCAGCGCAAGUCAGUUGUGAAAUCUCCGGGCUUAACUCGGAAAGGUCAACUGAUACUGCGCGGCUAGAGUGCAGAAGGGGCAACUGGAAUUCUCGGUGUAGCGGUGAAAUGCGUAGAUAUCGAGAGGAACACCUGCGGCGAAGGCGGGUUGCUGGGCUGACACUGACGCUGAGGCGCGAAAGCCAGGGGAGCGAACGGGAUUAGAUACCCCGGUAGUCCUGGCCUUAAACGAUGGAUGCUUGGUGUCUGGAGUUUUAUAGUCUCCGGGUGCCGCAGCUAACGCGUUAAGCAUCCCGCCUGGGGAGUACGGUCGCAAGACUGAAACUCAAAGGAAUUGACGGGGACCCGCACAAGCGGUGGAGCAUGUGGUUCAAUUCGACGCAACGCGAAGAACCUUACCUGGGCUUGAAGUGGGGCGGAAAGGGGCUGAGAGGCCUCUGUCCCUUCGGGGACUGCCCCAGAGGUGCUGCAUGGCUGUCGUCAGCUCGUGUCGUGAGAUGUUGGGUUAAGUCCCGCAACGAGCGCAACCCUUGUCCUUAGUUGCUAACGGGAGAGCCGAGCACCCUAAGGAAACUGUCGGCGAUAAGCCGGAGGAAGGCGGGGAUGACGUCAAGUCCUCAUGGCCUUUAUGUCCAGGGCUACACACGUGCUACAAUGGGCGCCACAAAGGGCCGCAAACCUGCAAAGGGGAGCCAAUCCCAGAAAAGCGCUCUCAGUUCGGAUUGGAGUCUGCAACCCGACUCCAUGAAGCUGGAAUCGCUAGUAAUCGCGGAUCAGCAUGCCGCGUGAUACGUUCCCGGGCAUUUACUCACCGCCCGUCAAGGCGAAUUCG